CUCUGGUGGUUUUCCACGGGCAAUGUAUCUAGCGCAACACGUUAGCUGGAGCUGUUGCAUAGGUACAUUGGUCAGUGGGAGC
rnacentral:pre_miRNA from 1 species